CAUGCUAGACGAGUUUGGAUCCUGGCUCAGAUUGAACGCUGGCGGCAUGGUUAAAGCAUGCAAGUCGAACGCGAACCACCUUCGGGUGGGGAAAGUGGCGAAAGGGCGAGGAAUACGAUCGAAUGUGCCCCGAGGUGGGGGAUAGCGUCGAGAAAUCGGCGGUAAUACCCCAUGUGCUCUACGGAGGAAAGGUUUACCGCCUUGGGAGCAGCGAUCGUCCUAUCAGGUAGUUGGUGGGGUAAUGGCCUACCAAGCCGAAGACGGGUAGCGGGUGUGAGAGCAUGACCCGCCGCAUCGGAACUGAGACACUGUCCGGACUCCUACGGGAGGCUGCAGCGACGAAUAUUCCGCAAUGGGCGAAAGCCUGACGGAGCAAUGCCGCGUGUGGGAUGAAGCGCCUUCGGCGUGUAAACCACUGUCAGGUCCUAGGAACACUGACCAGGACCAGAGGAAGGGCCGGCUAACCUCGUG
rnacentral:rRNA from 1 species